AUGAAGGCCUGUAUGAAUGGCAUAACGAGGGUUUAACUGUCUCCUCCCCCAAGUCAAUGAAAUUGAUCUGUCCGUGCAGAAGCGGACAUAAUCACAUAAGACGAGAAGACCCUGUGGAGCUUCAGGUAAAAGCCACAUGUGUAAAGAAACUUACUAAACCCAGGGACAUUAAAACCAUACAAAACUGAAACAUAAAUGGCCUGCAUACC
rnacentral:rRNA from 1 species